rnacentral:rRNA from 1 species
GAUGAACGCUAGCGGGAGGCCUCACACAUGCAAGCCGAGCGGUAUUGUUUCUUCGGAAAUGAGAGAGCGGCGUACGGGUGCGGAACACGUGUGCAACCUGCCUUUAUCUGGGGGAUAGCCUUUCGAAAGGAAGACUAAUACUCCAUAAUAUAUUGAACGGCAUCGUUUAAUAUUGAAAGCUCCGGCGGAUAGAGAUGGGCACGCGCAAGAUUAGCUAGUUGGUGAGGUAACGGCUCACCAAGGCGAUGAUCUUUAGGGGGCCUGAGAGGGUGAGCCCCCACACUGGUACUGAGACACGGACCAGACUCCUACGGGAGGCAGCAGUGAGGAAUAUUGGUCAAUGGGUGCAAGCCUGAACCAGCCAUCCCGCGUGAAGGACGACUGCCCUAUGGGUUGUAAACUUCUUUUGUAUAGGGAUAAACCUACCCUCGUGAGGGUAGCUGAAGGUACUAUACGAAUAAGCACCGGCUAACUCCGUGCCAGCCGCCGCCGUAAGAC